rnacentral:tRNA from 1 species
GGGACGUUAGCUCAGUUGGUUUAGAGCGCAGCUUUCACACAGCUGAGGUCGUUGGUUCGAAUCCAAUACGUCCCA